GCCGCCCUAGCUCAGUUGGUAGAGCGACGCUCUCGUAAAGCGUAGGUCAGGGGUUCGAUUCCCCUGGGCGGCU
rnacentral:tRNA from 1 species